AAUCCAUGCUUGGACACUUUUAUAGAAAAUCCGUAAAACGAUCUCCUGCUUCAUACAAAUUCUCUUCCUUCAAUUUCUUGAAGGACGAUAGAUUAUUUCUCAGAUU